GACGAACGCUGGCGGCGCGCUUAACACAUGCAAGUCGAGCGAGAACCUAGGCUUCGGCCUAGGGGACAGCGGCGAACGGGUGAGUAACACGUGGGUAAUCUGCCCUCGACAUCGGGAUAGCCCGGGGAAACCCGGAUUAAUACCGAAUGGCCCAUCCGCUUUUCGGAGCGGCUGGAAAAGGUAGCUUCGGCCUCCGGUCGAGGAGGAGCCCGCGGCGGAUUAGCUUGUUGGUGAGGUAAUGGCCCACCAAGGCGACGAUCCGUAGCUGGUCUGAGAGGACGAUCAGCCACACUGGGACUGAGACACGGCCCAGACUCCUACGGGAGGCAGCAGUGGGGAAUCUUGCGCAAUGGGCGAAAGCCUGACGCAGCGACGCCGCGUGCGGGAAGAAGGCCUGGUGUAACGCUUC
rnacentral:rRNA from 1 species